CACCUGACUCCAUCCCGAACUCAGAAGUGAAACGAAACAGCGUCGAUGGUAGUGUGGGGUCUCCCCAUGUGAGAGUAGAACAUCGC
rnacentral:rRNA from 1 species